rnacentral:rRNA from 1 species
GGGGUUAAAUUAAUAAUGGUUGAGUUAAUAAAAAAAUUUUUAAUAUUAAAAAGAAAUAAUGGGGGUUGGAGUAUUUUUAAUAGAAAAAAUUAAUAGUUUUAUAGUAAAAUAUUACUGUAAAGGAAAUUUAUAAAUAUUUGAAAUUUAAUUAAUAAAAAAGUAAAUUUAAUUUAUUGUAUCUUGUGUAUCAGAGUUUAUUAAAUAUUAAUAAUUUAUUUAAAUAAAUCUCGAAUUUAAAAGAGUUAAUUAAUUAAUAAAGUUAAUGUUGUAUAAUUAUUUUAAAUAAUUAAUUAGAAAUGAAAUGUUAAUCGUUUUUAAAUAUAUCUAGUUUUUUUAGAAAAAAAUUUAAUUUUAAAUUUAAAUAAUUUUAUAAUUUUUUAAUUAAUUAUAAAAAUUUAAAAUUUUAUAUUUUAAGGGAUAAGCUUUAAUUUAAAAAUUUUAUAAUGAAAUUAUUUUAAUAAUUAAAAUUUUUAAAAUUUAUAUUGUUUAUAAAUUAUAUUUUAUUAUAAAAAAUUUUAUUUAAAAAUAAAAUUUAAUAAAAAUUUAAAUUUUUAUAAAAAAUAUUUUAUAAUUAUAAAAAAUUAAAAAUAAUGAUAAAAUUAGUAUAUUAAAAUAAAUAAAUAAAAAAAAAAAUUAUAUUAAAUUAAAUUAAAGGAAUUCGGCAAAACUUUAUAUUCACUUGUUUAUCAAAAACAUGUCUUUUUGAUAAUAAUUUAAAGUCUAGUCUGCCCACUGAUAUAAUUAUUAAAGGGCUGCAGUAUAUUGACUGUACAAAGGUAGCAUAAUCAUUAGUCUUUUAAUUGAAGACUUGUAUGAAAGAUUUGAUGAAAUAUAAACUGUCUCUAAUUUAUUAAUAAAAAUUAAUUUUUUAAUUAAAAAGUUAAAAUAAUAUUAAAAGACGAGAAGACCCUAUAAAGUUUUAUAAUUUAUUUAUUUAUUAUUAAAUAUAUAACUAAAUAUGGUAAUUAACAUAAAUUAUUUUAUUGGGGUGAUAAAAAAAUUUAAUUAACUUUUUUUUCAAUAAUAAACAUAAAUAAGUGAAAAAAUGAUCCAUUAUUGAUGAUUAAAAGAAAAAAUUACUUUAGGGAUAACAGCGUAAUAUUUUUUUUAGUACAAAUAAAAAAAAAGUUUGCGACCUCGAUGUUGGAUUAAAGAUAAAAUUUAAAUGCAAAAGUUUAAAAUUUUGAUCUGUUCGAUCAUUAAAAUCUUACAUGAUCUGAGUUCAGACCGGUGUGAGCCAGGUUGGUUUCUAUCUUUAAUAAAAUUAAAUAUUUUAGUACGAAAGGAUCAAUUAUUUAAAAUAAUUUUAUUGUUAUAUGAAUAUUAAUAAUUAAUAUA